rnacentral:lncRNA from 1 species
GGGGUUUAGGGUUUCUUGACCCCUUUGUUGGUUAGAUUUGAUGUCCAUUUCGUCCCUAUUUGUGAUGAGGCUUGUAAUGGGAUCCAUAGAGGUCCAGAGAAGCUUUAUUCGUUAAGCUUUAUGAGGAUUCAUGGGAGUUUUGACCAAGGGUUAUGAGAUAUGGGGCUAAAACAUCAUAUAGGAGCAAAUAGUUGUUGUUUGAGCACCAAGGUUUGGACUUUACGUGAUUAUCAUACUUGGGGAGGCCAGAUCUAUGAUUGUAUGGAACGGAUGUGAUCUCAGAAGUGAGUUUGAGUUUAUGCAUGGCAUGAACUCGUCGAGUCUAAAGAACAGACUCGGCGAGUAGCAUGAAGUUUGCCCGUAACCACUCAGCGAAUGGUCUUGCCGAGUUGAGGGGUCGACUCAGUGAGUCAAGGAGAGUCAGGGGGACUGAGUCAAGACGGAACUCGCCGAGUUGUUCUUGAGACUCGGCGAGUUGAGUCGUGGUGGCCCCGCGAUUCAUUCCAGGUGAAACUCGUCAAGUCAGAGAAGUACUCGGCGUGUCAAGAUAGGAUCCAAGAGAGUCAGUGGACACGUAUAGACUCGCCGAGUCGCCCUAGUGCACUCGCUGAGUCCGGUCAAAGUUCACCGUUGACCUUGUUGACUUUUAGGGUUGAGUGCAGUUGUAUUUAUGAGUGUAUUACUUUGUGUGAUUAGGCGGAGGCUGGAUCACAUUUAUUCAGAGACAGAUAUUUACCGAGUCAUCGAGGUGAGUCUUCUCACUAUACAUUACCUAGAGUGGUAUAUCGUGUAGACCAGAGGGUCUUAUGUGUUAUGUAUGAGAUUAUGUGCUUUGCGUUAUGUGUAUGUUGUAUGUUGAUAUAGACCGGACCGAAGGGUCGAACGAGCUAUGACCGGACCAGAGGGUCCAACGAGCUACGGGACUGGAGGGUCCCGCUGAGACAUAUCGAUCGGAGGGUCAUAUUAUAGCCUUGAGUGGCAUAUGUGUUGUAUGCGGUAUAUUUGGGGAACUAACUAAGCAUUUAUGCUUACAGUUGUUGUGUGAUGUGUUUCAGGUACCAGUGAUGAGCGUGGGAAGGCGCCGACAUGAUUCGUACACACUUGAGGAUUUUAUGUUUUUGGAUUUUGGGGAAAUGUCUUUGUGAUAAAUACAUUUGAAACAGUAUGUUUAUGUUAUUUUGUGAAAAAUGAUGGUUUGAAAAUGAAAAUUUUGUCUUGAAAAUUUACGUUGUUACAAGUUGGUAUCAGAGCCUUGGUUUGAGGGAUUCGGAUGCAUCUUCGGGCGUAUCUGAACUCAAACUGAGGAAUUGAGGACAAUUUUUAUAAUAAAAUAAAAUUUUUGAAAAAAAAUAAUAACAGAGUUUUGAGACAAACAGAGCAGAGCCGUGUGUACGAUCAGCCAGCGCCCGAAUGACGAAUUCCCCAAAAGUACCCUUACUCUAUGUGUUAUGAGAUAUGUUAUAUUAUGCAUGCUAUAGUAGGCUAAGUAUACAUAUUAGAACUAGAGUGGCCUGAUUUGUGAUGCCCUAGCCUAGGAGUUUUCUGCUGCUUAGAUGCUUUGAGGGCGAGUGAUAGCAGUUAGGAGCUCAUGAGAAUAGAGUACUUGUAAUCUAAGAUCCAAGGAGGAGGACUUAAAGUGAAUGCUGGUGCGGUGUGGUUAAUAGUAUUGGGCCUGUACUACUGAAGACCCCGGAUCAGUAGGCAUUUCAAGUAAGAAUCUUUUGGAUGACAGAGGACAAGUAGGGUUGCGUCAUCGAGUAUGAGCAAGUUUGAUCGAAUCUCUGAUAAUUUUUGUUGUAUUUCAGAGACCAGUGGUGUCAGCGACGAGGAGAUCCGUCGGAUGAUUCAUGAGGAGGUGGCUGCUGCCAUCCGGGCUGAGAUCCCUGAUAUGUUCGGAGACAUCAAGACCUCGUUGAUCGAGACUUAUGAUGAGCGGUACGCCGCGUUGACUGAGGCUGCUGCAGCUGCAGCUACUGCUGCCAGACCUCAGGGAGGUGACUCGUUGUUGUUCCGGGAGUUUAGCAACACGAAGCCACCAGAGUUCGACGGGACGCAGGACCCGAUUGCCGCUAUGAGGUGGAUAUCUGACAUCGAGGGAUGUUUCUAUAUGUGCUCUUGUCCAGAGCACUUGAGGGUUCAAGUCGCCUUGAACCAGCUCCGCCUGGGAGUGAAGGAUUGGUGGAAGUUCAUGACGGCAAACUUUACUUUGGCUGAGAUUUCUGAGGUGAACUGGGAGAGGUUCACCGCUAUGUUCCGAGAGGAGUAUGUUCCCCCGGUAGAGAGGGAACGGUUGAUCCAGGAGUUCUUGACCCUUAAGCAGGGUACUGAUUCAGUGACAGUCAUCACCAGGAAGUUCCAUGAGAGGGCGAUGUUUUUCCCUGAGCAGGUGUCAACUGAGCAGGCUCGUAUGAGCCGUUAUCGGGGUAUUCUAAGGAGAGAUAUAUGGGAGUUCAUGGCAAACUCGAAUUACCGGACAUUUGCUGAGCUCCAGGCAAAUGCCCGGAAGAGGGAGAUCGAGCUAGAGACUCAGGCCAGGGAGGAGGCCGAGUCUCAGAGGAUGGAUCGGCGGUCGGCCCAGUCUCAGACAGUAGCCAAGCGGGCUAGACCCGCUGAUUCGAGAUCUGGGGGCACGAAGGGCCGCACUUGUGGGAAGUGCGGUAAGAGUCAUGAGGGGUCAUGCAGGGCUGGAGUAUGUUACAAGUGUGGGAAAGAGGGGCAUAUCGCGAGGGAAUGCCCCAAGGGAUUCUCGGUUUGCUUUCAUUGCAACCAGACCGGCCAUCAGAAGGCCGAGUGCCCGCAGCUUCUUCAGGGAUCAGCGCAGGGAUCUGCGCCUGCUGCUAGGGUUACCGAGACUCGGCCGGUGAAGGCCGAGGCCCCGAGGGCUCGUGGGAGAGCGUUUCAGUUGACCACGGAGGAGGUGCGCGCAACGCCUCAUGUUGUGGCUGGUAUGCAUUUCCUUUUCAUCUUUUAUUUGAGUUGAGAUUUUAUGCUUAUAUGAUCAUAUGCGUAGGUACUUUUCUUGUGAAUUCUGUCCUGCACUGGNGAUCAUAUGCGUAGGUACUUUUCUUGUGAAUUCUGUGCCUGCACUGGUGUUAUUUGACUCGGGUGCAAGUCGGUCGUUUGUUUCCAUAGCAUUUAGUCAGCGUAUUAGUACCCGUCGAGAGGCAUUGGAUCGGCCUCUGCGAGUGUCCAUAGCUGAUGAGCAAGCUGUGUGUGCUUCGGAUGUGAUUAGAGGAUGUGUCCUUGAGAUCUUCGGUGUGGAGUUACUGAUAGUUUUUGUCCCGAUCGCGAUGGGGGACGUGUGUGUGAUAGUGGGUAUGGAUUGGCUGAGCCGUUAUGGAGUUGUGAUAGACUGCAAGUGUCAAUUUGUGUCAAUUCAAGACCCUAGUGGGAAAGUUCUUUCGGUGUAUGGCGAGGGUACGCGUUCGGGGUCAGCAUUUUGUUCGGCCGCCAGAGCGAGACAGAGUCUAACGCAGGGCUGUAGGNGUCAGCAUUUUGUUCGGCCGCCAGAGCGAGACAGAGUCUACAGCAGGGCUGUAGGGGUUUUGUGGCAUAUGUGAUGGAUGCGAGGGCUGAUAUUGAGAGACCGAAGUCAGUUGAUGAGGUUCCGAUAGUGCGUGAGUUUCCGGAUGUGUUUCCAGAGGACUUGUCGGGUGUGCCUCCGGAGAGGCAGGUAGAGUUUGGUAUUGAGUUGGUUCCAGGAGUUGCGCCUAUUGCUAAGGCACUGUAUCGCCUUGCGCCUCCGGAGAUGCAAGAGUUGUCCUCGCAGCUUCAAGAACUGCUGGGGAAGGGGUUUAUUAGGCCGAGCAGUUCGCCUUGGGGAGAGCCUAUCCUUUUUGUCAAGAAGAAGGAUGGCUCGCUUCGUAUGUGCAUCGAUUAUCGUGAGCUGAAUAAACUAACGGUGAAGAACCGUUACCCGUUGCCAAGGAUCGAUGAUUUGUUUGAUCAGUUGCAGGGAGCAUCUUGGUUCUCCAUAUCGAUUUGAGGUCUGGGUAUCAUCAGGUGAGGGUGCGGGAGGAGGACGUACAAAAGAUGGCCUUCCAGACUCGUUAUGGGCAUUAUGAAUUCGUGGUGAUGCCUUUCGGACUCACCAAUGCACCAGCAGUGUUCAUGGAUCUCAUGAACAGGGUGUGCAGACCAAUGUUGGAUCGCUCGGUGAUCGUGUUUAUCGACGACAUUCUGGUGUAUUCGAGAUCCAGAGAGCAGCAUGAGGAGCAUUUGAGGGAGAUCCUCGGAGUUCUGAGAUCGGAGAGGCUUUAUGCCAAGUUCUCCAAAUGUGAGUUCUGGUUACGAGAGGUCCAAUUUUUGGGGCACCUCGUUAACCAGAAGGGGAUUUUAGUCGACUCGGCCAAAAUUGAGGCAGUUAUGAGGUGGGAGGUGCCGAGAUCACCCACUGAGAUCAGGAGUUUUUUGGGUUUGGCCAACUAUUAUCGAAGAUUUAUUAAGGAUUUCUCCAAGAUCGUUGUGCUCCUCACCAAGUUGACCCGGAAGGGUGUUGCAUUUUCUUGGGGUCCGGAGCAGCAGACCUUGGUCGAGACCCUUCGCAGGAAGUUAUGCGAAGCCCCAAUGUUAGCCCUUCCAGAAGGGAUGGAGGACUUUGUUGUUUAUUGUGAUGCAUCGAUAUCCGGAUUAGGAGCGGUGCUUAUGCAGCGGGGGCAUGUGAUAGCAUAUGCAUCGAGGCAGAUUAAGCCUCAUGAGUCGAGAUAUCCCACUCAUGAUUUGGAGCUGGGAGCGGUGGUGUUUGCUCUCAAGAUCUGGCGACACUACCUGUACGGGGUUCGAUGUACCAUAUACACGAACCACAAGAGCUGGAAGUAUUUGAUGGAUCAGCCCAACCUAAAUAUGCGUCAGAGGAGGUGGUUGGACGUGGUCAAGGAUUAUGAUUGUGAGAUCCUGUACCACCUGGGCAAGGCUAAUGUUGUAGCCGAUGCACUAAGCCGUCGGGCGGAGAGCGCCCCAUUGCGAGAUGUAUGUUUGGGAUUGACGGUGAUGACCCCGGUUUUGGAUGCUAUUCGAGGGGCCCAAGCUGAGGCUAUGCAGCCUGAGAGCCAAAAGAGGGAAUGAGUUGUCGGAUUGGUAUCAGAGUUCGUUACUGAUAGCCGGGGGCUUAUGACAUUUCAGGGUCGGAUUUGGGUACCGUCCGUGGGCGGGAUGCAUACCAUUUUGAUGGAGGAGGCUCAUCGAUCGAAAUUCACGAUCCAUCCCGGGGCGACUAAGAUGUUUUUGGACCUGAAAAAGGAUUAUUGGUGGCCCUGUAUGAAGAGGGAUGUCGCAUGGUUUGUAGAGAGAUGCUUGACCUGUCGUCGGGUUAAGGCCGAGCAUCAGCGUCCGCAUGGUAAGUUGCAGCCUUUAGAGAUUCCCGAGUGGAAAUGGGAACAGAUUGCCAUGGAUUUCAUCACCAAAUUGCCAAGAACCGUGAGGGGUGUCGAUGCAAUUUGGGUGAUCGUGGAUAGGUUGACAAAGAGUGCUCACUUCCUGGCCAUCAGUGAGAGCUCUUCAGCGGAGAAGUUGGCGGAGAUGUACGUGAGAGAGGUGGUAUCGCGGCAUAGAGUGCCGAUUUCGAUUGUCUGAAAUCAAGAUGUACGUUUCACUUCCAGAUUCUAGAAGAAGUUUCAUGAGGAAUUGGGUACGAAACUGCAUUUUAGUACAGCAUACCACCCCCAGACCGACGGGCAGAUUGAGCGGACGAUUCAGACGCUCGAGGACAUGCUCCAAGCAUGUGUGUUGGAUUUCGACAGAAGCUGGGACACGUUUUUUUUCCCUUGGUGGAGUUCUCCUACAACAACAACCAUCAUUCGAGCAUUGGCAUGCCGCCCUUUGAGCUGUUGUAUGGGAGGAGGUGUCGGACCCCUAUCUGUUGGGGAGAAGUAGGGCAGCGCGUGAUGGGUAGUACCGAGAUCGUGCUUCAGAUGACAGAGCAGAUCCAUCAGGUCAGACAGAGGUUGUUGACCGCUCAGAGUCGUCAUAAGAGUUAUGCGGACAGACGCUGGUCCGAACUUGAGUUUCAGUUCGACGACUUUGUGCUCCUUAAGGUCUCUCCUUGGAAAGGAGUGAUUCGAUUCAGGAAGAGGGGCAAGUUGGGGCCCCGAUAUAUUGGUCCUUUUAGGGUGGUCGCGAGGGUAGGCAGGGUAGCCUAUCGUUUGGAGUUGCCAGCAGAGUUGGGUCAGAUUCACAACGCUUUCCACGUGUCGCAGUAGUGAAAGUGUGUAGANAGUCGGCAGUGGUGCCAUUAGAAGAUAUUCAGAUAGAUGUGAGCCUGAAUUAUGCUGAGAGACCGGUGGCGAUCAUGGAUCAGAAGAUCAAGGUUUUGAGGAACAAGGAAGUGCCACUGGUGCAGGUCUAGUGGCAGCAUCGGAAAGGGUCGAAGUUGACUUAGGAGCCGGAGCAUGAGAUGCGUGAGCACCAUCCGGAGUUGUUUGCAUAGUGAGACUUCGAGGGCGAAGUCUGAUUCUAGUGGGCGAGAAUUGUAACACCCCAGAUUCCCAGGUAUUAUUUUAUCCUUUUAUUUUUGGGGGAUGUGAGGAGACUCGGUGAGUUAGAGUCUAAACUCGCCGAGUAGGAUCGUGGUUUUUGCACGCGGGUUCGCGUCUGGACUUGGCGAGUCCAAAAGUGGACUCGGCGAGUCCAUGCGGUUUAAUGAAACCCUAAUUUAUAGGGUUUGAGACCUAUUUAAAGGGGCUUAUGGCCGUCAUUUGCAGCCACCAACCCCAGAGAGAAACCCUAAAGAGAUUUUGAGUGUUUUGGGAGAGAAAAGAGCCCAUUGUUAACCUUUAAAGCUUUGUUUGGCAAGGGAAAGGAGUUUCUAGCCAAGAGGAGGCAGGGGAGGUGGAUAUCUUUCGAAUUUGGAGCUCAGAGCAUCAUUUUGGAGGUAUAUUUUGGCUCCCUUUUUCUGUUGUUAUGAUGAACAUGGGGGUUUAGGGUUUCUUGACCCCUUUGUUGGUUAGAUUUGAUGUCCAUUUCGUCCCUAUUUGUGAUGAGGCUUGUAAUGGGAUCCAUAGAGGUCCAGAGAAGCUUUAUUCCUUAAGAUUUAUGAGGAUUCAUGGGAGUUUUGACCAAGGGUUAUGAGAUAUGGGGCUAAAACAUCAUAUAGGAGCAAAUAGUUGUUGUUUGAGCACCAAGGUUUGGACUUUACGU